GUAUAAGUCACUGAGAGAGCAAGAAUGCUUUGAGCUCCGAGGGUGAGGGGAGUGAGAAUAGGCCCACUCUCUAAGCGCAUCCUGAUGAUGUGUGUCAUACUGAAAGGUAUGAGUGUUUGCAUGCAUGUAUGUAUGCAUGUGUGUGUAUGUGCACCAUAUGCACACAGUGCCCAAGGAGGCCAGAGGACGGCAUCAGAUCCUCUGAGCCUGGUCCACGAUGACAGCAGAUGAACCAUCUCUCCAGUACCUAUAUUCUAACUUCCCAAGCGACUGGAGGCCAUUUCUACCCACGGUGAUGCUACUGACCACCAGGGGACGUAUGUGCGCAUUUGGGGGAGAAGAGAGAGGCUCUGCGGUGGUGAUGGAAGCCUUUACUGCAAAACAGGCACCAGCUGGGCACUGGCAAGGACUGGGACACCUCAGCUCCCUGCAGCUGCUUCUCACCUUUGCAUUCCCAACUUUUCGGCUCCACCUCUAAAG